ACAAACUUGGUCAUUUAGAGGAAGUAAAAGUCGUAACAAGGUUUCCGUAGGUGAACCUGCGGAAGGAUCAUUAUCGAGUUAGGGUCUUCUCUGGCCCGACCUCCCAACCCCAUGUUUACAAAACCUCUUGUUGCUUCGGCGCGCCCGUCUCAGGACCGCCGGGGGACUCUAAGAACGUCCCCUGGUCUGCGCCCGCCGGUGGCCAAACUUGUACAAAUUCUGAUCAAAGCGUGUCACCUGUCUGAGUACCAUGAAAUAAAGCAAAACUUUCAACAACGGAUCUCUUGGUUCUGGCAUCGAUGAAGAACGCAGC
rnacentral:misc_RNA from 1 species